rnacentral:rRNA from 1 species
CUACGGGUCGCAGCAGUCGAGAAUUUUUCACAAUGGGGGAAACCCUGAUGGAGCGACGCCGCGUGGAGGAUGACGGUUUUCGGAUUGUAAACUCCUGUCAUUAGAGAACAAGGCACACGGUUUAACUGGCCGUGUGUUGAUAGUAUCUGAAGAGGAAGAGACGGCUAACUCUGUGCCAGCAGCCGCGGUAAUACAGAGGUCUCAAGCGUUGUUCGGAUUCAUUGGGCGUAAAGGGUGCGUAGGUGGCGAUGUAAGUCGGAUGUGAAAUCUCCAAGCUUAACUUGGAAACUGCAUUCGAUACUGCGUUGCUCGAGGACUGUAGAGGGCAUUGGAAUUCACGGUGUAGCAGUGAAAUGCGUAGAUAUCGUGAGGAAGACCAGUGGCGAAGGCGAAUGCCUAGGCAGUUCCUGACACUGAGGCACGAAGGCCAGGGGAGCAAACGGGAUUAGAUACCCUAGUAGUC